GCUUCCUUGGCUCAGCUGGUUAGAGCGCCGGUCUCAUAAUCCGGAGAUCGCCAGUUCGAUCCUGGCAGGGAGCA
rnacentral:tRNA from 3 species